UCCGAGUUUAUCAAUAAACCAUACAAAUUUUAAUAUUACAAUAUGGAAAUGAUCUAUAUCGAUGAAGAAGAGGAAGCAACAAGUUCUAUUGCUUUACCAUGGCCAAAUUGAGCAUAUUUUAAAAUAAUAUCUCAAAACAAAGAAAACAAUUAAUUCUCUGAUGGUAAAAGGUUUGCCGUGUCUACCUAAAAAUACAAAAAUAUCCGUCAGUAUGACUUCAACGUGCAAUAUCGUGAAGCACAUAAGGAGAAAAUAUCCAACCUUGUUAACAAAAAUAAAAAAGGGGAAGGAAAAUAAAAUACUAAAGAAAAUAUUGGCAAGGCUCAUCCUCCAAUAAUAUUUUUGCUAAAAGACCUUUGACUUUAACUCAAGGC